rnacentral:lncRNA from 1 species
UGUGGUAUUUAUAUUUUUAAAUGCUAAUGAUAUUAUUCAUCAGAUUUUCAUUAAGAAAUCAAGAGCCAGUGUCAUUAUGUUUUUCAUUAGAGAGGCAACAGAAGGGCAAUAAAAUCGACCUCCGUAAUAGCACCAUAAUAGACUUUCAUCUAUCCAUCAUAAAAAAGAAGAAAAAUUUUUUAUAUAUCGUGGGCGGUGCAGAACGCGUGCAUCGUC